rnacentral:rRNA from 1 species
UAAAAUAAUUAAGGGCACACAAAGGAUGCCUAGGUAGUAAGAGCCGAUGAAGGACGUGGUAAGCUGCGAUAAGCCUAGAUAAGUUGCAAUCGAACGUAAGAGUCUAGGAUUUCCGAAUGGAGCAAUCUAUUAAGAUGGAGUCUUAAUACGAAAGAGGGAACCGCGUGAACUGAAACAUCUAAGUAACGCGAGGAAAAGAAAGUAAAAACGAUACCCAAAGUAGCGGCGAGCGAAAUGGGUCAAGCCUAAACCUUAAAUAUGUCAAGGAUACAGCCGUUGUAUUUAAGGGGUUGUGGGACAGAGUGAUGAAGAACUGUAAGAUAUUCAAUAUAGUGUAUUGAUGAAUUAGAAUUGUCUGGAAAGGUGAACCGCAGAAGGUGAAAGUCCUGUAUAAGUAAAUCCUUACACAUAUAACUUUGCUCCCAAGUAACAUGGAACACGAGGAAUUCUGUGUGAAUCAGUGAGGACCAUAUCUCAUAAGGCUAAAUACUCUUACUAACCGAUAGCGCAUAGUACCGUGAGGGAAAGGUGAAAAGAACCCCUGGAGGGGAGUGAAAUAGAACCUGAAAUUGUGUGCUUACAAGCGGUCAGAGCCAGUAAUGGUGAUGGCGUGCCUUUUGGAGAAUGAUCCUGCGAGUUACGUUAAACGGCGAGGUUAAGUAUAACGGAGCCGAAGGGAAACCAAGUCUUAAUAGGGCGAUUUAGUCGUUUGGCGUAGACGCGAAACCUGGUGAUCUAAACCUGUCCAGGAUGAAGCUGUGGUAAGACACAGUGGAGGUCCUAACCCACCGCCGUUGAAAAGUUGGGGGAUGAGGUAGGUUUAGGGGUGAAAAGCCAAUCGAACCAGGAGAUAGCUCGUUCUCUCCGAAAUGCAUCUAGGUGCAGCCUUGAGUGUUCAAUUAUGGGGGUAGAGCACUGAAUGAUCUAGGGGGCAUAUUGCUUACUGAAAUCAAUCAAACUCCGAAUACCAUAAUUUAUAGCUCAGGAGUGAGACUAUGGGAGUUAACUUCCAUUGUCAAAAGGGAAACAACCCAGACCACCAGCUAAGGUCCCUAAUUAUAACUAAGUGGGAAAGGAGGUGGAGAUUCACAAACAACUAGGAGGUUGGCUUAGAAGCAGCCAUACCUUUAAAGAGUGCGUAAUAGCUCACUAGUCGAGAGUCUCUGCGCCGACAAUGUAACGGGGCUAAGUUAUAAACCGAAGCUGUGGAAUCCGUAAGGAUUGGUAGGAGAGCGUUCUGUAGGCCGUUGAAGAAGAAGGGUAACCGACUUUGGAGGUAUCAGAAGUGAGAAUGCAGGAAUAAGUAGCGAGAAAGGGGGCGAGAAUCCCCCUCGCCGGAAGACCAAGGUUUUCAGGGUAAAGCUUGUCUUCCCUGAGUAAGCCGGGACCUAAGCCCAGGCUAUAAUGCGUAGGCGAAUGGAAAACAGAUUAAUAUUUCUGUGCCAGUCAUUUAUUGUGAUGGAGGGACGCAGAAGGGUAUGCGCGCGGACGAUCGGUUGUGUCCGUAGAAGUAUGUAGGAUGACUUAGUAGGAAAAUCCAUUAAGUUAUAUCUGAGGUAUGAUAUAUAGUCGUAAGAUAAAUGCGCAAAUCCCACGCUGCCAAGAAAAGCUUCUAACGUUAAUUUAUGACUGCCCGUACUGCAAACCGACACAGGUGGUCAGGAUGAGAAAUCUAAGGCGGACAGGCUAACUCUCGUUAAGGAACUCUGCAAAAUAACCUCGUAACUUCGGGAGAAGAGGAGCCCUUGUGUGUUAGUAUCCAUGCGAUACAAAGCACUCGAGGGUCGCAGUGAAGAGGCUCAAGCAACUGUUUAACAAAAACACAGGUCUAUGCUAAGCUGGAAGGCGAUGUAUAUGGGCUGACACCUGCCCAGUGCUGGAAGGUUAAGAGGAGGAGUGAGAGCUCCGAAUUGAAGCCCCAGUGAACGGCGGCCGUAACUAUAACGGUCCUAAGGUAGCGAAAUUCCUUGUCGGGUAA